rnacentral:lncRNA from 1 species
AACCCCUGCCCUCUGCAGUGGAAGCACAGAAUCUUAGUUACUGGACUGCCAGGGAAGUCUCAAGACUGGCUGGUUUGGGGAAUCAAAAGGCAAAUGGGCUAGUGUGGAUGAAGGGCAGGAUGCUUGAGGGGAAAGGGGCAGGGAUGGAUAGAGUGAGAAAGAAAGCUGCUGCUGCUACCCUUCCCACUUGGAAAAUGCCCAAAUUAUUUUCUGCUCUCUUUGGCUGAGGUAAGAAUUCAGCUUUGUAGAACUAGGGCCUGACACAGUUGUGUUUGUAACCACCACUCUCUCCUCUAUCCAUCCUCACCAGAAAAUCUACUGAGGGGACCCUCUUCAUAGCAGCCCCACAUCAAGACAGUGACCAAGAGGGAGGAGAGAAGCCAUGUCUUGAAGUUCUCAAUUCAAAAAGAUUUUGGUUCUGAGGCUUAGGCUGAAAAGGCAGAGUUGAGGAGGGUAUUGGAUUGUGCAGGAACAAGAGGCUCCUCUCCAACUCCUCCAUGAGCACACUCUGGUCCUGGGGCCUGUUCUCUCUCCAUGCAGGAGCUGUCACAAACUCCGGAGGUGGUGGCAAUGCUGGCUACACCACUCAUCCCAGCACCACCGGCCCCAGAGCCCAGUCAUCUGUCAGUGCCUUCACUGCCAGUGUUCAUGGACCACAUAAAACACCAAGGGCCAAGGUAACUCAGUGUGUGGUGCCAUGCUAGACUCUUGUACUCCUAAAGAAGCCUGCCAAGUUGCCACAAUGGCUACACACUUGACACGGUAUUUGGGCCCUGAAUCAAAAAGAUGUCCAAGACAAAAAUUUGGGAGGGAAAAAGGUUGGGGGUCUAGAUGGAGAGGUGGGAUGGCUUGUAUAUGGGGGUACUUUUGACAUGCUUGUUUUUUUCCAGUGCCUUUCCAUGAUCUCCACACUCUUUCUCACGUGUCCUCUGAUCAUCUUCUUCCAGGAGACAGGGGUCCAGCUGUCUCUGGCAGCUUCACUCCUAUGAGAAAUGGAUGGGAGCAGCAGCAGCAGAAAAAUGGUCUAAUUUAUCAUCAUUCCCCACAACUUGCUCAACCUGAAACUACUCUGUGCCCUUUGGUUUGGAGCUGAGCUCUUUGCCUAUGCCAUUUCCUCUCCUGAUAAGGUAUGCUUCCUGUGUAGUCUUCUCAAUCUAGCUGACAUCUUCUGCCUGUUCCCUGUGUUGAUGGAAUGGAUACUGGAUGACAAAAUUGAAUGGCAACCCUGUCUCAGCCUAAUGCUCGAGCCCAUGCA